GGACUACAGGGGUUUCUAAUCCUGUUUGAUCCCCACACUUUCGUGCCUCAGCGUCAGUUACUCCUUAGUAAGCUGCCUUCGCUAUCGGUGUUCUGGACGAUCUCUAAGCAUUUCACCGCUACACCGUCCAUUCCGCCUACCUCAUCAGUACUCAAGUUUCCCAGUAUCAAUGGCACCUCGACAGUUGAGCUGCCGUAUUUCACCACUGACUUAAGAAACCGCCUACGCACCCUUUAAACCCAAUAAAUCCGGACAACGCUUGCCACCUACGUAUUACCGCGGCGGCUGGCAC
rnacentral:misc_RNA from 1 species